rnacentral:rRNA from 1 species
GAUGAACGCUGGUGGCGUGCCUAACACAUGCAAGUCGAACGGAGUCGUUUUGGAAAUCUCUUCGGAGAUGGAAUUCUCGACUUAGUGGCGGACGGGUGAGUAACGCGUGAGCAAUCUGCCUUUAAGAGGGGGAUAACAGUCGGAAACGGCUGCUAAUACCGCAUAAAGCAUUAAAUUCGCAUGUUUUUGAUGCCAAAGGAGCAAUCCGCUUUUAGAUGAGCUCGCGUCUGAUUAGCUAGUUGGCGGGGUAACGGCCCACCAAGGCGACGAUCAGUAGCCGGACUGAGAGGUUGAACGGCCACAUUGGGACUGAGACACGGCCCAGACUCCUACGGGAGGCAGCAGUGGGGAAUAUUGCGCAAUGGGGGAAACCCUGACGCAGCAACGCCGCGUGAUUGAAGAAGGCCUUCGGGUUGUAAAGAUCUUUAAUCAGGGACGAAACAAAUGACGGUACCUGAAGAAUAAGCUCCGGCUAACUACGUG